GCCGAAAUAGCUCAGUGGGGAGAGCGUUAGACUCAACAUCUAGAGAUCCCUGGUUCGAUCCCGCGUUUCGGCG
rfam:Callithrix jacchus chromosome 11, whole genome shotgun sequence